rnacentral:rRNA from 1 species
GCGACCUCAGCUCAGGCGGGGCUACCCG